rnacentral:tRNA from 1 species
GGGUCUAUGAUGUAACGGAUAACAUAAACGGUUUCGGCCCGUUAUAUGGGGGUUCGAUUCCUCCUAGGCCCG